rnacentral:rRNA from 1 species
GACGAACGCUGGCGGCGCGCCUAACACAUGCAAGUCGAACGAGCGAGAGAGAGCUUGCUUUCUCGAGCGAGUGGCGAACGGGUGAGUAACGCGUGAGGAACCUGCCUCAAAGAGGGGGACAACAGUUGGAAACGACUGCUAAUACCGCAUAAGCCCACAGGUCGGCAUCGACCAGAGGGAAAAGGAGCAAUCCGCUUUGAGAUGGCCUCGCGUCCGAUUAGCUAGUUGGUGAGGUAACGGCCCACCAAGGCGACGAUCGGUAGCCGGACUGAGAGGUUGAACGGCCACAUUGGGACUGAGACACGGCCCAGACUCCUACGGGAGGCAGCAGUGGGGAAUAUUGCACAAUGGGGGAAACCCUGAUGCAGCGACGCCGCGUGGAGGAAGAAGGUCUUCGGAUUGUAACUCCUGUUGUUGAGGAAGAUGAUGACGGUACUCAACAAGGAAGUGACGGCUAACUACGUGCCAGCAGCCGCGGUAAAACGUAGGUCACAAGCGUUGUCCGGAAUUACUGGGUGUAGAGGGAGCGCAGGCGGGAAGACAAGUUGGAAGUGAAAUCUAUGGGCUCAACCCAUAAACUGCUUUCAAAACUGUUUUUCUUGAGUAGUGCAGAGGUAGGCGGAAUUCCCGGUGUAGCGGUGGAAUGCGUAGGUAUCGGGAGGAACACCAGUGGCGAAGGCGGCCUACUGGGCACCAACUGACGCUGAGGCUCGAAAGUGUGGGUAGCAAACAGG